UACGUAGGGGGCUAGCGUUGUCCGGAAUCAUUGGGCGUAAAGAGCGUGUAGGCGGUCCGGUAAGUCCGCUGUGAAAGUCGGGGGCUCAACCCUCGAAUGCCGGUGGAUACUGUCGGGCUAGAGUGCGGAAGAGGCGAGUGGAAUUCCUGGUGUAGCGGUGAAAUGCGCAGAUAUCAGGAGGAACACCUAUUGCGAAGGCAGCUCGCUGGGACGAUACUGACGCUAAGGCGCGAAAGCGUGGGGAGCGAACAGG
rnacentral:rRNA from 1 species